UAGAAAAAAGAUGCACUAUACUUUGCAUCUUUUUUUUAUGUCUGAAUCUUGUUUGUCUAGCUGCCGUAUCUGAUCGCCACCACCAGGGGGAGCUACCCACUUCUCAUGCUAUUUCCCGACAUAAAUAGCAGAGUAUUUGAGUGAACUGACCUUUAGCCACCAUGUAGCCAACAUGUCGUAUGUAUACCACUAUUGCCUGUUGAUGCAAAUCCAACACAAUCAUAAUUUUUCCUAAAUUUCACACUAAAACAGAUAGCAGUUAAGUUACAAGGGAUAAAAGGGCUUUAAGUUUGUCACUGAAAAAGUUAAAAUAUACGUCCUUCAUAAAGACGAAGUGGAGUCUGAUGACAGUUUCUAUUUCUGCCGGGUUGAUUCUGGGUCUACAUGGCCAAAUGUUUGUUUUCCCAAAGUGUCCUGAAGUAAGCUCCAGUCUGGAGUUUACUAUAAUAAUAAAUAAAUAAUAAUGUACUAAUGUGAUGAGUAAAUAAUUAUCAUCUGUUGGUCAAAUAAAGUAAAUGUACUGGUUUCACUUAUUUUGAAUGACUUGAGCAACCAGAUAUCUUUGAUUUUCCGCUGAUAUAAAACGUGGAACGUGUCUGGUUUUUCUGGCCCAAAAGUCGAAGCGGAGCCGAGAUAAACUGCAGCAAGCUGUGCUGGCCCGGUUCUGUUUUCCUGUGAGGCCAUUGGAGAGUCAGAGCGUAAACAGAGCCGGUCCGUUAAAUCCAGGGAUUAUUAGCUCCGAGGCUACAUGUUUCUCACUCCUAAACUUCACAGAUCAGACUGCAGAUAUUGAUCCUCAGGAACCGUUUGGAAAUCAGACCGCAGACGAACGCUUCUCCUUUUUACUUCAAAAACAACUUUUUAUGUUUUACAAAGAACAAACAGUGGCGAAAUAAAUCAGAUUAUCUUUUUCUGAAUGUGACAGUGUGAACCCGUCUGUUUAACUCGCAUCCCCUUCUCAGGGCACUACAGCGAUCUGCGCCUGUAAUCUAAUUAAAACAAUGAUGAGAUGUCAGAGAGAAACCAUUGGAGAGGCCAGAGGGUCAUGGAACGUGAUGCAACACAGCGCUGCCCCUCCCCAACGUACUGCUGCGAAACUGCUAGUCAGCUAUCAAAGGAAUAAAGGAGCCUAAAAGCAGCAGAUAUUCCUACGGCUGACAGUCCUUGUCAAAUACCAGCUGAACAUAAGCAGUCGUGGCACCGAGCUGCUGAAAGCUGGUUCAACUGUCUGCAGUUGGUUUCUCUGUUGCGUCCACAAGGCGGUCAUGCAGCGCUGCGGGGCCCGCACCGCUCCACAAACACAAACUCAUCCCGCUUUGUUUGCUGCUCUUCCUGCUUCCCAUCUGCAUAAACAACACCGGAUGGCUUCCAUCCAGCGGACGAAGAGAUGCAGCGAAUCCCUCUGUCCACUCAGCUUCAUUUUUAUCCAAAGCUCAUCAUGCUUCCCACCUUGAACCCCAUCUUGCCCUUCUUGCAGCAGAGGCACGCCAGCAUGAGGAA